GCGCCGUUGGUGCAGGGGUAGCAUAGUUGCCUUCCAUUCAUCUCUGAAAAGGGUCGAGUAAGCAACUGGGAAGGGUUCGAGUCCCUUACGGCGUA